GAUGAACGCUAGCGGCAGGCUUAAUACAUGCAAGUCGAGGGGCAGCACAGAUAGCAAUACUGGGUGGCGACCGGCAAACGGGUGCGGAACACGUACACAACCUUCCUUUUGGUGGGGGAUAGCCUUUGGAAACGGAGAUUAAUACCCCAUAAGCUAUUCGAAUCGCCUGGUUUUGAUAUUAAAGAUUUAUUCCGCUAAGAUGGGUGUGCGUAUGAUUAGGUAGUUGGUGAGGUAAGGGCUCACCAAGCCGACGAUCAUUAACCGGUGUGAGAGCACGACCAGUCACACGGGCACUGAGACACGGGCCCGACUCCUACGGGAGGCAGCAGUAAGGAAUAUUGGUCAAUGGACGGAAGUCUGAACCAGCCAUGCCGCGUGGAGGAUGAAGGUCCUCUGGAUUGUAAACUUCUUUUAUAUGGGGCGAAAAAGGGCCAUUCUUGGUCAACUGACGGUACCAUAUGAAUAAGCACCGGCUAACUCCGUGCCAGCAGCCGCCGUAACAC
rnacentral:rRNA from 1 species